ACUGCUCAGUAACACGUGGACAACCUGCCCUUAGGUUGGGUAUAAACCCGGGAAACUGGGUAUAAUACCCGAUAGGUCUCGAUUGCUGGAAUGCAUCGAGAUUUAAAGCUCCGGCGCCUAAGGAUGGGUCUGCGGCCUAUCAGGUAGUAGUGGGUGUAGCGUACCUACUAGCCUACGACGGGUACGGGUUGUGAGAGCAAGAGCCCGGAGAUGGAUUCUGAGACACGAAUCCAGGCCCUACGGGGUGCAGCAGGCGCGAAAACUUUACAAUGCUGGCAACAGCGAUAAGGGAACCUCGAGUGCCAGGUUACAAAUCUGGCUGUCGAGAUGCCUAAAAAGCAUUUCAUAGCAAGGGCCGGGCAAGACCGGUGCCAGCCGCCGCGGUAACACCGGCGGCUCGAGUGGUAACCGUUAUUAUUGGGUCUAAAGGGUCUGUAGCCGGCCGGAUAAGUCUCUUGAGAAAUCUGGCAGCUUAACUGUCAGGCUUUCAGGAGAUACUGUCUGGCUCGAGGCCGGGAGAGGUGAGAGGUGCUUCAGGGGUAGGGGUGAAAUCUUGUAAUCCUUGAAGGACCACCAGUGGCGAAGGCGUCUCACCAGAACGGACCUGACGGCAAGGGACGAAAGCUAGGGGCACGAACCGGAUUAGAUACCCGGGUAGUCCUAGCCGUAAACGAUACUCGCUAGGUGUCGGCCACGGUGCGACCGUUGUCGGUGCCGUAGGGAAGCCGUGAAGCGAGCCACCUGGGAAGUACGGCCGCAAGGCUGAAACUUAAAGGAAUUGGCGGGGGAGCAC
rnacentral:rRNA from 1 species